GAUGAACGCUGGCGGCGUGCCUAAUACAUGCAAGUCGAGCGAACGGACGAGAAGCUUGCUUCUCUGAUGUUAGCGGCGGACGGGUGAGUAACACGUGGAUAACCUACCUAUAAGACUGGGAUAACUUCGGGAAACCGGAGCUAAUACCGGAUGAUAUUUUGAACCGCAUGGUUCAAAAGUGAAAGACGGUCUUGCUGUCACUUAUAGAUGGAUCCGCGCUGCAUUAGCUAGUUGGUAAGGUAACGGCUUACCAAGGCAACGAUGCAUAGCCGACCUGAGAGGGUGAUCGGCCACACUGGAACUGAGACCCGGUCCAGACUCCUACGGGAGGCAGCAGUAGGGAAUCUUCCGCAAUGGGCGGAAGCCUGACGGAGCAACGCCGCGUGAGUGAUGAAGGUCUUCGGAUCGUAAAACUCUGUUAUUAGGGAAGAACAUAUGUGUAAGUAACUGUGCACAUCUUGACGGUACCUAAUCAGAAAGCCACGGCUAACUACGUG
rnacentral:rRNA from 1 species